AUCCAGCUGACGAGUGCCAAAUAGGACGAAGUUGUGGUCGUCCUGGAU
rfam:Schistosoma haematobium scaffold319_2, whole genome shotgun sequence.